CAGCAGCCGCGGUAAUACGUAGGUGGCAAGCGUUGUCCGGAUUUACUGGGCGUAAAGCGCGCGCAGGCGGACUGGUCAGUCCGGGGUGAAAUCUCACGGCUCAACCGUGAGAGGUCCCUGGAUACUGCUAGUCUUGAGGGGCUCAGAGGAGAGUGGAAUUCCGGGUGUAGUGGUGGAAUGCGUAGAUAUCCGGAGGAACACCAGUGGCGAAAGCGGCUCUCUGGGGGCAACCUGACGCUGAGGCGCGAAAGCGUGGGGAGCGAACCGGAUUAGAUACCCGGGUAGUCCACGCCGUAAACGAUGAGUACUAGUUGUCGGGGGUAUCGACCCCCUCGGUAACGAAGCUAACGCGAUAAGUACUCCGCCUGGGGACUACGACCGCAAGGUUAAAACUCAAAGGAAUUGACGG
rnacentral:rRNA from 1 species